AGGGACUCAGGCCUCUGUUGGUGCCACUUCCUCCAGCAGCUGGCCUGUGUCCCUGC
ensembl:miRNA